CCAAUCCAAUUUUGAAUCCAAUUGGCUCACUCACCUUGGAUUUCAUGUGAUCUCACCUUCAGACAGGCUACCAUGCUGACCCUUGUCAAAGGUCUUGCGAAAGUCAAUAUAGACAGUGCCCAUUGUCCCACCCUCAUCAAUCUUUGUGGUCACCUCUUUGGAAAACUCCCACAAAUCAGAUUUGUCUGAU